AGGAGGCCCUUUGCUAUGCGGCAGGGUUAGAGCACUAGGCUUCAUCUCUGCUUCUUUAUAGCAGAAGCAACAUGGCCAACUGCCUCAUGCUCCUGCUGCCAAAAUGGAUUGUAUCUUCUCAGAAUAUAAAAACAACCAAGGAUACAAGAAUCAGUGCCUCAUACCUGCUUCCUGAAAAAAAAAAUCCUCUCAAAUGUUCAGAUCAGCCUGCUAUGGUCUGAAUGUUGACUCUUGAGAAAUGAGUGCGUCAAAACUGAACUUCUCAAGUUUACUUGGAGGUCCUGAGUUCACUUCUCAGCACCAUCCGGGAGAAGAAGCAGAAGGAUGGGAAGCCUAGGGUGUAAGGAUUCUAUGCCUCUUCUUCUCUUUGAUCCCUGACAUUUCCACAUGAACAAGUCCAGCUCUCCUGCUAGAGGGUGAGAAGAUAAGAGGCCAAGUGGAGCAAAGAUGGAUGACCCACCACGAGGACUCAGACCUGUUAGAGAGGCUACCUGAAGUCAGCAGUGGUGAUCUUGCAGCAGUCCAAAGAUGCACAAAGCCAUCAAGCACCGAGGUGGCUCAUUAUCUAGGAAAAGCUCACAGGUCCCCGAAGUUCAGGAUGAAAAUCUUAUCCACUGGCACACAACUAACUAGCACUCUGAAACAUUAUGAGGAUACGCUUGGCAGGGUAAGACAUCCCUCAGCUUUACUCAUACUCACCGAGCUGUUCAGUUUUACAGGAGCUAAUAAGAGAAAGCUAGAAUUGUAAAAAUACUUAGGUAAUAUAGGGAGAAGGGGCCCAGGAAAGAACAGCCUGCCCCUGAGCUCUUGAGACUUGAAAAUCCCCACCCCUAUGACUAAGUGUUAAAGGUCAAACGAUACUUCUGGCUGCUUUGUACUUUUCCACUACCUC